CCCUCAUUCGCAUUCUGUUUGGAGAAAACCUAGCCGCAGUCCAUGGAAUCAAGGUAUUCAUCUUCUUUUUGUAUCAAUCAGAUCAAGAAACUGAGCAUUCGUGACCCAGAUCGCACUCUGUUUCCUCUUUCAACAAAUCGAUCAUCAAAUCGGAGCUUCAACUGUUCUCCAUGGGUGCUUGAGCUUGCUUGAUUGUCAUUAACAGCUGAUUUGACUAAAGGUUAUUCCUAAUUAAUCAGAUUUCAUGGGAGCUGGUGAAGGAAAUUCAACUACUAAGCAUUCUAAUCCUACUUUAAGUCAGGUGGCAUUACCAUUUCUUUUUAUUACAAAUUUUUAAUCGUGUCACACAAAAUCAUUACAACCUCUACAUAAUCUUCAUGAAACACAUCUGUCCUCCUAUGUUGAUUUGUCAGCCUCAAUGCAGGUGAGUGAUCAUAACCUCGAUUUCAUAAUAUAAUAUAAUAUAAUAU